rnacentral:rRNA from 1 species
CCUACGGGAGGCAGCAGUGAGGAAUAUUGGUCAAUGGGCGCUAGUCUGAACCAGCCAAGCCGCGUGAAGGAUGACUGCUCUAUGGGUUGUAAACUUCUUUUGUAUGGGAAUAAACUGCACUAUGUGUACUGGCUUGCAAGUAUCUUAUGAAUAAGGAUCGGCUAACUCCGUGCCAGCAGCCGCGGUAAUACGGAGGAUCCGAGCGUUAUCCGGAUUUAUUGGGUUUAAAGGGUGCGUAGGCGGUUUGAUAAGUUAGUGGUGAAAUAUCGGGGCUCAACCCUAGAAUUGCCGUUGAUACUGGUGACCUAGAGUGCAGUUGAGGUAGGCGGAAUGCAUGGUGUAGCGGUGAAAUGCUUAGAGAUCAUGAAGAACACCGAUUGCGAAGGCAGCCUACCAAACUAUAUCUGACGCUGAGGCUCGAAAGUGUGGGUAGCAAACAGGAUUAGAUACCCGAGUAGUC